rnacentral:rRNA from 1 species
CUGCCAUGGGCGAAGCCUGACGCAGCCAUGCCGCGUGAAUGAUGAAGGUCUUAGGCUUGUAAAAUUCUUUCACCGGGGNACGAUAAUGACGGUACCCGGCAGAAGAAGCCCCGGCUAACUUCGUGCCAGCAGCCGCGGUAAUACGAAGGGGGCUAGCGUUGCUCGGAAUUACUGGGCGUAAAGGGAGCGUAGGCGGACAUUUAAGUCAGGGGUGAAAUCCCGGGGCUCAACCUCGGAAUUGCCUUUGAUACUGGGUGUCUUGAGUAUGAGAGAGGUGUGUGGAACUCCGAGUGUAGAGGUGAAAUUCGUAGAUAUUCGGAAGAACACCAGUGGCGAAGGCGACACACUGGCUCAUUACUGACGCUGAGGCUCGAAAGCGUGGGGAGCAAACAGGAUUAGAUACCCUGGUAGUCCACGCCGUAAACGAUGAUUGCUAGUUGUCGGGAUGCAUGCAUUUCGGUGACGCAGCUAACGCAUUAAGCAAUCCGCCUGGGGAGUACGGUCGCAAGAUUAAAACUCAAAGAANUUGACGGGGAA